AUGACAACAAAGGAUAUGAAAGUUCAAAUUUGUUCAAGAAAUGAAGUCAUGCAAGGUAGUGGAAUGGAGUAUAAUGGAUCACAUUCACAAGGUGGUCUUUUGAGACAACCUAGUAUGAACAAGAACAAUUGUUUAUGCUCUCCAACUACACACGCUGGUUCAUUUAGGUGUAGACUACAUCGUACACCUAAUCUCAUAAGGACAAAAAGUACGGAGUCGUCGUCGUCAUCAUCAUCUACUCAUGAUCAGGCCUCUUUGAUUCAUGCUUCUGUAGUUGUUGAUGCUAAUGGUGAUGCCAAAAAGAACUAG